UUUCUUGAAAUCUGAAGGCUGCUAGAUACCAAAUAGUAGAAUGCACUUUACCAAAGUCGUUGGUGAGAAUUUUUGUUUAGAUAGUUCUUAUUAAAAUCUUAGGAGUAUAUACCGAAAGUGCAGACAGUGAGUAAGAUAAAGGGUGUGAAGCCGCGACCUCGGAUAUCAUUAAAGAAAGAAGCGUCCAUCCGAAUGGCGAAUACAAGGCUGGUCCCUCGAAUAAAACGGCUCCCUUUUUUUUAUAAUCAUUCUAAGCCUAAGCGUAAAGAUUAUUGCGGAAUUUAUUUUUUUAGCUUUGAAUCAAUCGAACUGAACGAGAAAUUUUAAACUAUUACUUACUGAGCUAAUAAGUGAAGUCGUGAGCACGUCAACCGGUCGAGGCGAAUGGUUGAAAAUGCAAAAUGCGUAGAAAUUUUGAUAUAAAGAAAAUACAUCAGUUCUUAGGUCAAAGAAGUCUGUAAAUAUACAAGAAAUAUUGCCUAGCGACAGUUUUGCCAUGAGUUUAGUCAUGCUCAGCUCAGAAGUUGACAUAUAUUCUUGCGAUUUCGAUAAAGACUUUUCUCAAGCAGUAACUGCUGUGGUCACAGCGAAGCGGUAUCAAAUAACCAAUUAAAGUGUGACCAGUCAGAAUAUCUGCCAAUUUCACAACAUUAAAGUUCCAGAACUUUUGGUUCCAUCGGCUAACAUUAAAACGGCUAAAGUAGACACAGAGCUCAAGUUUCAGUUUAAGGAAAAUAAGUACAGCGUUGACUACUUGUUUUCCUAUUUGUAUUUCAAAGCUUUCUUUAUCAAAUGGAAAAUUACAGUUUUUUAAAGCUACUGCGCUUGAUUUAGCGUAUUCAUUCGAUGCCACCUUACUUUAUAACUUAUGAACUCAAUAACGAAAUCUAUUUUUUUAUUGAAUAGCAUUUAAAAGUCUCAUAACUGAUUCAAUA